UGAUGCCAGGGUCAAAAGUUACUAAGCCCACCAUGAGCUUGCUCAUAGGUGGGUGAAAGACCUUAGGACCCGCCCCGACUAUGAGCAUAAAAGUAGGGAUGAUAAUCCCACGAUAUGCGAAGAUUGGGUAGGAUUGUUGGAGUGCGUAGCACGGAGCAAUCCGUAGGCAUCA
rfam:Ruminococcus lactaris ATCC 29176 Scfld_02_37 genomic scaffold, whole genome shotgun sequence.